rnacentral:rRNA from 1 species
UACAGAGGGUGCGAGCGUUGUUCGGAAUUACUGGGCGUAAAGCGCGCGCAGGCGGCUUUCUAAGUCUGUCGGUCAAACGCCGGGGCUCAACCCCGUGCUCGCCGGAGAUACUGGGAGGCUGGAGACAGGUAGAGGCAAGCGGAAUUCCGGGUGUAGCGGUGGAAUGCGUAGAGAUCCGGAAGAACACCGGAGGCGAAGGCGGCUUGCUGGACCUGGUCUGACGCUGAGGCGCGAAAGCGUGGGGAGCGAACAGG